rnacentral:rRNA from 1 species
UACGGAGGAUCCAAGCGUUAUCCGGAUUUAUUGGGUUUAAAGGGUGCGUAGGCGGCGUUGUAAGUCAGUGGUGAAAGUUUUCAGCUUAACUGGAAAAUUGCCAUUGAUACUGCAGUGCUUGAGUAUAGAUGAGGUGGGCGGAAUGUGUCAUGUAGCGGUGAAAUGCAUAGAUAUGACACAGAACACCGAUUGCGAAGGCAGCUCACUAAACUAUAACUGACGCUGAGGCACGAAAGCGUGGGGAUCAAACAGGAUUAGAUACCCUGGUAGUCCACGCCCUAAACGAUGAUUACUCGAUGUUAGCGAUAUACUGUUAGCGUCAAAGCGAAAGCGUUAAGUAAUCCACCUGGGGAGUACGCCCGCAAGGGUG